AAUAACUGGGCGAUUCAACACCAGAACCUAUUGUUCCUGAACUAUUAUCAAAUUUGAAAUCCAAAUCCAUUUUAUGCAAUGUUUUUGGCUUCCAUUGAUUGAUUGAAAAUGGGGUUUUACUUUGAUUUAAACGGACCUCGUUUUUUUUGGAAAAUUUGAACUGAGCACAAAUUUGGGCUCUCCAUUUUCUUGUUUUUGAUGAUUUUGAGGACCUUUAUUUUUCUUGGACUUCUUUCGUUUCCUGAGAGUUGGAUCAAUGAAUAAUGUACUCUGGGGUUUGAAACCUUUCCCACACUGCAUUCCAGUAGAUGGAAGACAAAGAUGAUAACAAAAAGGACUAUUACAAAGUGCUCGAAGUUGACUAUGAUGCAACUGAUGAGAAAAUCAGACUGAAUUAUCGAAGACUUGCCCUGAAAUGGCACCCUGAUAAGCAUAAGGGGGACAAUGCUGUCACUGAAAAGUUCCAAGAGAUUAAUGAAGCUUAUAAAGUGUUGAGCGAUCCAGUGAAGCGCCUUGAUUAUGAUCAUUCUGGAAAUUAUGAUGUUCACAGAUACACUUUACAGGAAUAUCUUAGCCGCUUCAAAGGAAUGAUACUCACUUGCAAUGGCCUUGGUAUUGGCGAUGCUUCUAUUUGGGCACAUCAAUUGAUGGACUCUAGCGACUAUAGAGAUAUAUGAACCUGAUGUUCAGGGUGGUGGGUGGCCAGAACAUUGAUUUCUUUAGUUCUAUUUCUACAACAGGUAGGAAACCAAUCCCCCAUGAACUAUGGUCACAAUGAUAUAUCAAAGGAACGUAAUAGAUAAUACACUUGGUUCCUGCUUGCUUGCAUUCUAAGGGAGUGCGUACCUGCUCAUGAAUAUUCUUGUCAUUGCAAUAUUACCAUAUGCACAGUAUGAUAGAAGAAUUAGGUUUCCUUUCCUUGAUCCUUAAUUUUUGCAGACAUUGCCGGCAAAAUUGUCGGCAUAUUUGGUGGCAAUAAACUCAGAAGAAAUUGAGAUUUCGGAAUAAACUCAAGAAGAAAUUGAGAUUUGAGAAUCUUUUUAAGCAUGGAGAACUUCCUAUGGCGCUUCUUAUCUGAAAUUGUACACUAUUACCUGGAAUUUUUCUUUUGACGGUUAAAAACCUACACUAUAAGCAUGCAGAAUUUCU